rnacentral:rRNA from 1 species
GUUUUUAUCUUGUCAUAUUGAUAGGAUCUUGCUCGAUUAUGGUUGUUGGUGAGGUAAAGGCUCACCAUGUUUAUUUUCUAUUGGGGUCGUGAGAGCGGGAGCCCUAAUAUGGGUACUGAUACUGCGACCCAUGCCUUAUGAGGCGCAGCAGGUACGAUUCCUCCGCAAUACACGAUAGUGUGACGGGGUUACCCAAAGUGUUCUUAUAGAACUGUGGCAGGUGAGUAAUGUCCCCUGCUAGAAAGGAGAGGGCAAGGCUGGUGCCAGCCGCCGCGGUAAAACCAGCUCUUCAAGUGGUCGGGAUAAUUAUUGGGCUUAAAGUGUCCGUAGCCGGUUUAGUAAGUUCCUGGUAAAAUCAGGUAGCUUAACUAUCUGUAUGCUAGGAUUACUGCUAUACUAGAGGGCGGGAGAGGUCUGAGGUACUACAGGGGUAGGGGUGAAAUCUUAUAAUCCUUGUAGGACCACCAGUGGCGAAGGCGUCAGACUGGAACGCGCCUGACGGUGAGGGACGAAAGCCAGGGGAGCGAACCGGAUUAGAUACCCGGGUAGUCCUUGCCGUAAACGAUGCAUACUAGGUGAUGGUACGGCCA